rnacentral:rRNA from 1 species
GACGAACGCUGGCGGCGUGCUUAACACAUGCAAGUCGAACGGAAAGGCCCUGCUUUUGUGGGGUGCUCGAGUGGCGAACGGGUGAGUAACACGUGAGUAACCUGCCCUUGACUUUGGGAUAACUUCAGGAAACUGGUGCUAAUACCGGAUAGGAGCUCCUGCUGCAUGGUGGGGGUUGGAAAGUUUCGGCGGUGGGGGAUGGACUCGCGGCUUAUCAGCUUGUUGGUGGGGUAGUGGCGUACCAAGGCUUUGACGGGUAGCCGGCCUGAGAGGGUGACCGGCCACAAUGGGACUGAGAUACGGCCCAGACGCCUACGGGAGGCAGCGGUGGGGAAUAUUGCACAAUGGGCGGGAGCCUGAUGCAGCAACGCCGCGUGCGGGAUGACGGCCUUCGGGUUGUAAACCGCUUUCGCCUGUGACGAAGCGUGAGUGACGGUAAUGGGUAAAGAAGCACCGGCUAACUACGUG